AGCGAACGCUGGCGGCAGGCUUAACACAUGCAAGUCGAGCGGGCCCUUCGGGGUCAGCGGCGGACGGGUGAGUAACGCGUGGGAACGUGCCUUCUGGUCUGGAAUAACCCUGGGAAACUAGGGCUAAUACCGGAUACGCCCUUUUGGGGAAAGGUUUACUGCCGGAAGAUCGGCCCGCGUCUGAUUAGCUAGUUGGUGGGGUAACGGCCUACCAAGGCGACGAUCAGUAGCUGGUCUGAGAGGAUGAUCAGCCACACUGGGACUGAGACACGGCCCAGACUCCUACGGGAGGCAGCAGUGGGGAAUAUUGGACAAUGGGCGCAAGCCUGAUCCAGCCAUGCCGCGUGAGUGAUGAAGGCCUUAGGGUUGUAAAGCUCUUUUAUCCGGGACGAUAAUGGCGGUACCGGAGGAAUAAGCCCCGGCUAACUUCGUG
rnacentral:rRNA from 1 species